UACGGGGGGAGCAAGCGUUGUUCGGAUUUACUGGGCGUAAAGGGCGUGUAGGCGGUCAGCACAAGUCAGUUGUGAAAUCUCCGGGCUUAACUCGGAAAGGUCAACUGAUACUGUGCGACUAGAGUGCAGAAGGGGCAACUGGAAUUCCCGGUGUAGUGGUGAAAUGCGCAGAUAUCAGGAGGAACACCGGUGGCGAAGGCGGGUCUCUGGGCCGAUAUUGACGCUGAGGAGCGAAAGCGUGGGGAGCAAACAGG
rnacentral:rRNA from 1 species